UACAGAGGGUGCGAGCGUUAAUCGGAAUUACUGGGCGUAAAGCGCACGUAGUCGGCUUUGCAAGUCGGUUGUGAAAUCCCCGGGCUCAACCUGGGAACUGCAUCCGAGACUGCAUUGCUAGAGUAUGGGAGAGGGAAGCGGAAUUUCUGGUGUAGCAGUGAAAUGCGUAGAUAUCGGGAGGAACACCUGUGGCGAAAGCGGCGCACUGGACCACAACUGACGCUGAGGCGCGAAAGCUAGGGGAGCAAACAGG
rnacentral:rRNA from 1 species